rnacentral:rRNA from 1 species
CUGCUGCCUCCCGUAGGAGUCUGGUCCGUGUCUCAGUACCAGUGUGGGGGACCUUCCUCUCAGAACCCCUACGCAUCGUCGCCACGGUGGGCCGUCACCCCGCCGUCUAGCUAAUGCGCCGCAUGCCCAUCCGCCACCGGAUCGCUCCUUUGGCCACCGGAGGAUGCCCUCCGGUGGCGUCACGGGGUAUUAGGCCGCGUUUCCGCGGGUUAUCCCCCUGUGGCGGCCAGGUUGCAUACGUGUUACUCACCCGUGCGCCGGUCGCCGGCGGG